UGGGGAAUUUUGGACAAUGGGCGAAAGCCUGAUCCAGCAAUGCCGCGUGUGUGAAGAAGGCCUUCGGGUUGUAAAGCACUUUUGUCCGGAAAGAAAUCCUUGGCUCUAAUACAGUCGGGGGAUGACGGUACCGGAAGAAUAAGCACCGGCUAACUACGUGCCAGCAGCCGCGGUAAUACGUAGGGUGCAAGCGUUAAUCGGAAUUACUGGGCGUAAAGCGUGCGCAGGCGGUUUGCUAAGACCGAUGUGAAAUCCCCGGGCUCAACCUGGGAACUGGCAUUGGUGACUGGCAGGCUAGAGUAUGGCAGAGGGGGGUAGAAUUCCACGUGUAGCAGUGAAAUGCGUAGAGAUGUGGAGGAAUACCGAUGGCGAAGGCAGCCCCCUGGGCCAAUACUGACGCUCAUGCACGAAAAGCGUGGGGAGCAAAACAGGAUUAGAUACCCUGGUAGUCCACGCCCCUAAAACGAUGUCAAACUAGUUGUUGGGGGAUUCAUUUCCUUAGUAACGUAGCUAACGCGUGAAGUUGACCGCCUGGGGAGUACGGUCGCAAGAUUAAAAACUCAAAUGAAUUGACGGGGUCAUAGCUGUUUCCU
rnacentral:rRNA from 1 species